rfam:Salmo salar isolate Sally breed double haploid chromosome ssa07, whole genome shotgun sequence.
GUACAGAUAUGGAGACAUGGUUCCUAAGACCAUUGUAGGGAAGAUCGUUGGUUCUGUCUGUUCUCUGAGCGGUGUGUUGGUCAUCGCCCUGCCUGUGCCCGUCAUCGUGUCCAAC